GGUGCAGACGGCUUUUUAAGUCGGUUGUGAAAUCUCCCGACUUAAUUGGGAGAAGUCAUUCGAUACUAUUAAGCUAGAGGACGGUAUAGGAAAGCGGAACUCCCGGUGUAGCGGUGAUAUGCGUAGAUAUCGGGAGGAACACCAGUGGCGAAGGCGGCUUUCUGGGCCGUUCCUGACGUUAAGACCCAAAAGCGUGGGGAGCAAAACGGAUUAGAUACCCGUGUAGUCCACGCCCUAAACAUUGGACACUAGGUAUAGGGGGUAUCGACCCUCUCUGUGCCGAAGCUAACGCUUUAAGUGUCCCGCCUGGGGACUACGGCCGCAAGGUUAAA
rnacentral:rRNA from 1 species